rnacentral:antisense_RNA from 1 species
GCACGGCCUCCUCCCCUCCAGCUCACCGAGCGAUCUCCCUUCCUUCCUUCCAGUACUUCCUCCUGGUUGUUCUCCUGAGGAGGAAAAGAAGGGGUGACUCUCCACACCCUUGCAGCCUCACCUCAUCAUCCCUGCCUGCUGCCUGGCCAGACCUGGUCACUCAAGGCCUCCUUCAGUGCCCUGGUCUCAGCUGCCUCAGUAGGCUAGUGGAGCACAGCCAGGGGAGGACAGGAAGAGGGUAUUCUCUGGUGACAGGUGUGCCCCCCACUGACAGACCCUGCUCAGCAGAACAGAAGCCCUUCAGCAAAUGAGACCUACCCUCUGCAGAAGGCUGGUUAGGAAGCAUCCAUGUCUACUUCAGCGUCUCACCUCCCUGUCACAAACAGAUCACCACAGUUUUCCUCCAGCCUCAUGCUGUCCUCCCCCUGGAGGAAUGCGGGUACAUGGAAUGUUCUCUACCUCCAUGCAUGUCCAGCGACGUUUUGGAUCAGCAUGUCAGGGACGCUGUCAGGCGUGCCUGCUUGAACUCAUCCAGCCCUGGCUGGACGUGAUUCUACAAGCAGAGCAAGACCAGCAUGUUCUGUCCUCUAGUUAUCACAGCAGUUACCCUGGCAACCUGCAGGCCCUCCCUGAGGUGUCUGACGGCUGAAGCAGGGUCCAGCGGGAUGGAAUGGAGGAUGGGCACCCCGGAAGACAGCCCAUGGAGGGGCCCUUUGGGUCCCCUGCUGCCCUGGGCACCUGCUAAGAGAGAAGCUGAGCCACCCUGCCUGAGUCAGUAGGCAGUAAGAGCUGAAGGGAGCAGGAGGUUAGGGCC